AUUGAACGCUGGCGGCAGGCCUAACACAUGCAAGUCGCACGAGUGGCGGACGGGUGAGUAAUGUCUGGGAAACUGCCUGAUGGAGGGGGAUAACUCCUGGAAAAGGUAGCUAAUACCGCAUCCCAUCGGAUGUGCCACGAUGGGAUUAGCUAGUAGGUGGGGUAACGGCGCACCUAGGCGACGCUCCCUAGCUGGUCUGAGAGGAUGACCAGCCAAACUGGAACUGAGACACGGUCCAGACUCCUACGGGAGGCAGCAGUGGGGAAUAUUGCACAAUGGGCGCAAGCCUGAUGCAGCCAUGCCGCGUGUAUGAAGAAGGCCUUCGGGUUGUAAAGUACUUUCAGCGGGGAGGCGUGACCCGCAGAAGAAGCACCGGCUAACUCCGUGCCAGCAGCCGCGGUAAUAC
rnacentral:rRNA from 1 species